rnacentral:rRNA from 1 species
CAUGCAAGUCGACGGGCCUUUCGGGGUCAGCGGCGGACGGGUGAGUAACGCGUGGGAACGUGCCUUCUGGUUCGGAAUAACCCUGGGAAACUAGGGCUAAUACCGGAUACGCCCUUUUGGGGAAAGGUUUACUGCCGGAAGAUCGGCCCGCGUCUGAUUAGCUAGUUGGUGGGGUAACGGCCUACCAAGGCGACGAUCAGUAGCUGGUCUGAGAGGAUGAUCAGCCACACUGGGACUGAGACACGGCCCAGACUCCUACGGGAGGCAGCAGUGGGGAAUAUUGGACAAUGGGCGCAAGCCUGAUCCAGCCAUGCCGCGUGAGUGAUGAAGGCCUUAGGGUUGUAAAGCUCUUUUAUCCGGGACGAUAAUGACGGUACCGGAGGAAUAAGCCCCGGCUAACUUCGUGCCAGCAGCCGCGGUAAUACGAAGGGGGCUAGCGUUGCUCGGAAUCACUGGGCGUAAAGGGCGCGUAGGCGGCGUUUUAAGUCGGGGGUGAAAGCCUGUGGCUCAACCACAGAAUGGCCUUCGAUACUGGGACGCUUGAGUAUGGUAGAGGUUGGUGGAACUGCGAGUGUAGAGGUGAAAUUCGUAGAUAUUCGCAAGAACACCGGUGGCGAAGGCGGCCAACUGGACCAUUA